AUGGCGGCGGCGGAGCUGACCUUGGCCAAUUUGCAGAAGCUCGUGGCAGAGAGCAUUACCCAGAGUCGGGCGGUGUCGGAGGCCAACGUCCACAUCGCGAAGGGGAUUACGGAGCUCAGCACUGCGCUCGACAACUACGCUUCGUCGUCGGCGCAGGCGUUCGAUGCGCUGGCCAAGUCCACCAAGGCGUCGCUCGACCGUACAGAGGCCACAUUGGGGCGGGUUCUCGUCUCCAACAAUAGCCUGGAUGCGGCGGUGGGGACGAUGCGAAGCUCUCUGGAGGGGAUCCGUUGUCGGGUUGAAUCGCUGGAGCAGGCUCCUGUUGUGCCGCAACCUCGAGUUCCCCUGCGACCUGACGCACCGAGGGCGGACACGCACAGAAACGAUCUCCAGGCUCCUACAGCUGAUUUGCGCCUGCAUCGACCACCUCGUUUUCCCUUGGGCGCUGGUGAGCAGUCAAAACCCACAAAUCACCAGUAUGAGGAAGGGUCUAAUGACAAUGAAGAGUAG
rnacentral:rRNA from 1 species